rnacentral:rRNA from 1 species
UGGGGAAUAUUGCACAAUGGGGGAAACCCUGAUGCAGCGACGCCGCGUGAGCGAAGAAGUAUUUCGGUAUGUAAAGCUCUGUCAGCAGGGAAGAAAUUGACGGUACCUGACCAGAAGCCCCGGCUAACUACGUGCCAGCAGCCGCGGUAAUACGUAGGGGGCAAGCGUUAUCCGGAUUUACUGGGUGUAAAGGGAGCGCAGGCGGUUCUCAAGUCUGGUGUGAAAGCCCGGGCCCAACCCCGGGACUGCAUUGGAAACUGCGGGACUUGAGUGUCGGAGGGGCAAGUGGAAUUCCUAGUGUAGCGGUGAAAUCGUAGAUAUUAGGAGGAACACCAGUGGCGAAGGCGGCUUGCUGGACGACAACUGACGCUGAGGCUCGAAAGCGUGGGGGAGCAAACAGGAUUAGAUACC